UGAUGUGAGGGUGAUCUGGCUGUGACAUCUGUCACCCCAUUGAUCGCCAGGGUUGAUUGGGCUGAUCUGGCUGUAUAGGCAGGUGUCCCCUCCUCCCUCAGCACUCCGUGUGUGUCCCUCCUGAAGCCGGGUGCUGGGUUGAAGAGGAUGGCCUUCCCCAAAUAGAGGAGGACCAGUCGUCAGUCUAGGGUAUAUGAGUAGUUGUGCUUCCCUGAUAGAACCUCUAAGCAAGCUCUCAAGUUCCUCAUAGUUUUCUAAAUGUUGUUUUCUGGUGUAGCUUGCACUUCUGUACCAGGUAUUUGCAUCUGUGUUU
ensembl:misc_RNA 7SK 7SK RNA